UGGGGAAUUUUGGACAAUGGGGGCAACCCUGAUCCAGCCAUGCCGCGUGCGGGAAGAAGGCCUUCGGGUUGUAAACCGCUUUUGUCGGGGAAGAAAUCUUCCGGGCUAAUACCCUGGGAGGAUGACGGUACCCGGAGAAUAAGCACCGGCUAACUAC
rnacentral:rRNA from 1 species